CCUACGGGUGGCAGCAGUGAGGAAUAUUGGUCAAUGGACGAGAGUCUGAACCAGCCAAGUAGCGUGAAGGAUGACUGCCCUAUGGGUUGUAAACUUCUUUUAUAUGGGAAUAAAACGUUCCACGUGUGGGAUUUUGUAUGUACCAUAUGAAUAAGGAUCGGCUAACUCCGUGCCAGCAGCCGCGGUAAUACGGAGGAUCCGAGCGUUAUCCGGAUUUAUUGGGUUUAAAGGGAGCGUAGGUGGAUUGUUAAGUCAGUUGUGAAAGUUUGCGGCUCAACCGUAAAAUUGCAGUUGAGACUGGCAGUCUUGAGUACAGUAGAGGUAGGCGGAAUUCGUGGUGUAGCGGUGAAAUGCUUAGAUAUCACGAAGAACUCCGAUUGCGAAGGCAGUUCACUAGACUGCCACUGACACUGAGGCUCGAAAGUGUGGGUAUCAAACAGGAUUAGAUACCCCUGUAGUC
rnacentral:rRNA from 1 species